AAUGUACGUCUUCUCAACCUUGCGAGGACAAGAGCAUCAAGAGUCAAGUUAAGAGUCGUUUAUAUCCUAUAUGCAGUGCACGCCACUAAUAUUGGCCCGCUUGAUACCGGUGAUCCUGACUCCUUUGGACUUGCCUCUGGACCUGCUUGAUGCAUCUUGAAGCCCCUCUUCUGCUUGGCGAUUUUGUCACCUGAAAAUGACUCACUGCUGCUGCUGCACAUGUACGGCCUAACGACAACCAUCAGAUUACUGUGGAUGGUAGCACAAAGAAACCAUAAUGAGGGCUGUGGAUGGUCUUCCUUGGAUAGCCUGAGGACCACAAUUGCUAAGAACAGUUUACCGUCUCCAUCAUUGGACAGUUAAAGCUAUAAUAAUACUCCUAUUCAAGCUCCUAAAAAAAUGACCACUUUUUUGAUAUAGAUCUAGAACAGAAAUCAUUUAUAAAUCACACGAUCUGGUACCACCCAGCUGAGGAUAGGUUCCUCUCAAGGUUUCUUCCUCCCUCAGGGAGUUUUUAACUUGCCCCUGUGGCUUUUGGAUAAAUGUAUAAAUGGAAAAGUUAUAUCUGGAUUUCUGUAUAGCUGCUUUGUGACAAUAUCUAUUGCUAAAAACUCUAAUACAAAUAAAAAUGAGAAUCAAGCACAUACGGGUGUGAUCAGUCAGGUGUCCACAUUCAUUUUGGCAAUAUAAUGCCACUAAUCGGUGGUUUUAUGAUGACCCCCGACGUGAACAUGGUAGAUCCCCUAACUGACUUCCAAAACGAAAUGUACGGUAACCUGUUAAGUGGAGUUUUUUUUUUUUUUUUUUGGGGGGUAGUGAAGAGAUCGAGUCUCUUCAGCCUACAUGAGGUGGAUAUAAACUUCGGGCCUCGACUGUAACUACGCAAUUUUUUCAAUGUUUGAAAAAAAAAAAAAACUGCAUAGUAAAAACUAUUGUGCAAGAAAGUGUUUUCUUCUGAUUUUACACAAUAAAAUGUACAAAAAAUUUUCACACUACUAAAAAUAAAAUUAAGCACGAACAUGCGCACACACACACACACACACACACACACACACACACACACACACACAGUACUCACGUUCUCAGAAACACACACCUAACAUUAAAUUCAAUUAUCCAGUGUUGGACCUUUGGCCAAAUUGCACUUUCUAAAACAUAAAUAAAAUGUCUUGAAAUCCUUGAUGUUAAGCUGUAGGAAAAGGCAUGAGCUCAAAACAAGGCCAAGAUUUCCAGCUAAGGUUGAUUCUGUUUCCUGUAAGGAAUCUUUCUACAAGGCUUUCAAUGCAGCCUUCAGUAGAUGCGUCAUUCCUCAGGACGGGUUUACAGUCCGUCAGGGUUAGCGAAUACCCUGCAUAGGCCUGCACUUCAGUGGAUAAUUCCUUUCCGCUUGUCCU
ensembl:lncRNA